UAAGCGACUAAGCGUACACGGUGGAUGCCCUGGCAGUCAGAGGCGAUGAAGGACGUGCUAAUCUGCGAUAAGCGUCGGUAAGGUGAUAUGAACCGUUAUAACCGGCGAUUUCCGAAUGGGGAAACCCAGUGUGAUUCGUCACACUAUCAUUAACUGAAUCCAUAGGUUAAUGAGGCGAACCGGGGGAACUGAAACAUCUAAGUACCCCGAGGAAAAGAAAUCAACCGAGAUUCCCCCAGUAGCGGCGAGCGAACGGGGAGCAGCCCAGAGCCUGAAUCAGUGUGUGUGUUAGUGGAAGCGUCUGGAAAGGCGUGCGAUACAGGGUGACAGCCCCGUACACAAAAAUGCACAUAUUGUGAGCUCGAUGAGUAGGGCGGGACACGUGGUAUCCUGUCUGAAUAUGGGGGGACCAUCCUCCAAGGCUAAAUACUCCUGACUGACCGAUAGUGAACCAGUACCGUGAGGGAAAGGCGAAAAAGAACCCCGGCGAGGGGAGUGAAAAAGAACCUGAAACCGUGUACGUACAAGCAGUGGGAGCACGCUUAGGCGUGUGACUGCGUACCUUUUGUAUAAUGGGUCAGCGACUUAUAUUCUGUAGCAAGGUUAACCGAAUAGGGGAGCCGAAGGGAAACCGAGUCUUAACUGGGCGUUAAGUUGCAGGGUAUAGACCCGAAACCCGGUGAUCUAGCCAUGGGCAGGUUGAAGGUUGGGUAACACUAACUGGAGGACCGAACCGACUAAUGUUGAAAAAUUAGCGGAUGACUUGUGGCUGGGGGUGAAAGGCCAACCAAACCGGGAGAUAGCUGGUCCUCCCCGAAAGCUAUUUAGGUAGCGCCUCGUGAAUUCAUCUCCGGGGGUAGAGCACUGUUUCGGCAAGGGGGUCAUCCCGACUUACCAACCCGAUGCAAACUGCGAAUACCGGAGAAUGUUAUCACGGGAGACACACGGCGGGUGCUAACGUCCGUCGUGAAGAGGGAAACAACCCAGACCGCCAGCUAAGGUCCCAAAGUCAUGGUUAAGUGGGAAACGAUGUGGGAAGGCCCAGACAGCCAGGAUGUUGGCUUAGAAGCAGCCAUCAUUUAAAGAAAGCGUAAUAGCUCACUGGUCGAGUCGGCCUGCGCGGAAGAUGUAACGGGGCUAAACCAUGCACCGAAGCUGCGGCAGCGACACUAUGUGUUGUUGGGUAGGGGAGCGUUCUGUAAGCCUGUGAAGGUGUACUGUGAGGUAUGCUGGAGGUAUCAGAAGUGCGAAUGCUGACAUAAGUAACGAUAAAGCGGGUGAAAAGCCCGCUCGCCGGAAGACCAAGGGUUCCUGUCCAACGUUAAUCGGGGCAGGGUGAGUCGACUCCUAAGGCGAGGCCGAAAGGCGUAGUCGAUGGGAAACAGGUUAAUAUUCCUGUACUUGGUGUUACUGCGAAGGGGGGACGGAGAAGGCUAUGUUGGCCGGGCGACGGUUGUCCCGGUUUAAGCGUGUAGGCUGGUUUUCCAGGCAAAUCCGGAAAACUAAGGCUGAGGCGUGAUGACGAGGCACUACGGUGCUGAAGCAACAAAUGCCCUGCUUCCAGGAAAAGCCUCUAAGCAUCAGGUAACAUCAAAUCGUACCCCAAACCGACACAGGUGGUCAGGUAGAGAAUACCAAGGCGCUUGAGAGAACUCGGGUGAAGGAACUAGGCAAAAUGGUGCCGUAACUUCGGGAGAAGGCACGCUGAUAUGUAGGUGAAGUCCCUCGCGGAUGGAGCUGAAAUCAGUCGAAGAUACCAGCUGGCUGCAACUGUUUAUUAAAAACACAGCACUGUGCAAACACGAAAGUGGACGUAUACGGUGUGACGCCUGCCCGGUGCCGGAAGGUUAAUUGAUGGGGUCAGCGCAAGCGAAGCUCUUGAUCGAAGCCCCGGUAAACGGCGGCCGUAACUAUAACGGUCCUAAGGUAGCGAAAUUCCUUGUCGGGUAAGUUCCGACCUGCACGAAUGGCGUAAUGAUGGCCAGGCUGUCUCCACCCGAGACUCAGUGAAAUUGAACUCGCUGUGAAGAUGCAGUGUACCCGCGGCAAGACGGAAAGACCCCGUGAACCUUUACUAUAGCUUGACACUGAACAUUGAGCCUUGAUGUGUAGGAUAGGUGGGAGGCUUUGAAGUGUGGACGCCAGUCUGCAUGGAGCCGACCUUGAAAUACCACCCUUUAAUGUUUGAUGUUCUAACGUUGACCCGUAAUCCGGGUUGCGGACAGUGUCUGGUGGGUAGUUUGACUGGGGCGGUCUCCUCCUAAAGAGUAACGGAGGAGCACGAAGGUUGGCUAAUCCUGGUCGGACAUCAGGAGGUUAGUGCAAUGGCAUAAGCCAGCUUGACUGCGAGCGUGACGGCGCGAGCAGGUGCGAAAGCAGGUCAUAGUGAUCCGGUGGUUCUGAAUGGAAGGGCCAUCGCUCAAUGGAUAAAAGGUACUCCGGGGAUAACAGGCUGAUACCGCCCAAGAGUUCAUAUCGACGGCGGUGUUUGGCACCUCGAUGUCGGCUCAUCACAUCCUGGGGCUGAAGUAGGUCCCAAGGGUAUGGCUGUUCGCCAUUUAAAGUGGUACGCGAGCUGGGUUUAGAACGUCGUGAGACAGUUCGGUCCCUAUCUGCCGUGGGCGCUGGAGAACUGAGGGGGGCUGCUCCUAGUACGAGAGGACCGGAGUGGACGCAUCACUGGUGUUCGGGUUGUCAUGCCAAUGGCACUGCCCGGUAGCUAAAUGCGGAAGAGAUAAGUGCUGAAAGCAUCUAAGCACGAAACUUGCCCCGAGAUGAGUUCUCCCUGACUCCUUGAGAGUCCUGAAGGAACGUUGAAGACGACGACGUUGAUAGGCCGGGUGUGUAAGCGCAGCGAUGCGUUGAGCUAACCGGUACUAAUGAACCGUGAGGCUUAACCU
rnacentral:rRNA from 1 species